rnacentral:rRNA from 1 species
GCCGCGUGCAGGAAGACGGCCUUCUGGGUGUAAACUGCUUUUGUACGGGAAUAAACACCAGUUGCGAGGUGGUUUGACGGUACCGAUAAAAUAAGGAUCGGCUAAUUCCGGGCCACCACCCGCGGUAAUACGGAGGAUCCAAGCGUUAUCCGGAUUCAUUGGGUUUAAAGGGGCCGUAGGUGGACAAUUAAUUCAGGGGUGAAAUCUUGCACCUCAACUGUGAAAUUGCCCUUGAUACUGUGUGUCUUGAAUCAUUGGAAGGUGGUUGAAAUAUGUAGUGUACCGGUGAAAUGCUUAGAUAUGACAUAAAAUACCAAUUGCAAAGGCACAUCACUACCGGUGCAUUGACCCUGAGGGACGAAAGCGUGGGGAGCGAACAGGAUUAAAUACCCUGGUAGUCCACGCCGUAAACGAUGGAUACUAGCUUUGGGAUACACGCUGGGUGGCUUGCGAAAGUGAUAAGUAAUCCACCUGGGGAGUACGCUCGCAAAAAUGAAAACCUAAAGGAAUUGACGGGG